CCUACGGGAGGCAGCAGUGGGGAAUUUUGGACAAUGGGCGCAAGCCUGAUCCAGCAAUGCCGCGUGAGUGAAGAAGGCCUUCGGGUUGUAAAGCUCUUUUGUCAGGGAAGAAACGGUGGAGGUUAAUACCUUCUGCUAAUGACGGUACCUGAAGAAUAAGCACCGGCUAACUACGUGCCAGCAGCCGCGGUAAUACGUAGGGUGCAAGCGUUAAUCGGAAUUACUGGGCGUAAAGCGUGCGCAGGCGGUUGUGCAAGACAGAUGUGAAAUCCCCGGGCUCAACCUGGGAAUUGCAUUUGUGACUGCACGGCUAGAGUGUGUCAGUUUUAGGGGGGAGAAUUCCACGUGUAGCAGUGAAAUGCGUAGAGAUGUGGAGGAAUACCGAUGGCGAAGGCAGCCCCCUGGGAUAACACUGACGCUCAUGCACGAAAGCGUAGGGGAGCAAACAGGAUUAGACUACCCGUGGUAGUCCACGCCCUAAACGAUGUCUACUAGUUGUCGGGUCUUAAUUGACUUGGUAACGCAGCUAACGCGUGAAGUAGACCGCCGUGGGGAGUACGGUCGCAAGAUUAAAACUCGAAAGGAAUUGACGG
rnacentral:rRNA from 1 species